rnacentral:tRNA from 1 species
GGUAAAAUGACUGAGUAUCAAGUGGUGGAUUGUAGCCCCAUAUACAGAGGUUUGAGUCCUCUUUUUAUCA